AAAGGAAUUGACGGGAGCUCACACAAGCGGUGGAGCAUGUGGCUUAAUUCGAAGCAACGCGAAGAACCUUAUCCAGGGUUUGACAUGGUUGGAUUAACCCCGUGAAAGCGGGGCCACACUCUUUGAGUGGAACAACCACAGGUGCUGCAUGGCUGUCGUCAGCUCGUGCUGUGAAGUGUCGGGUUAAGUCCCUUAACGAGCGAAACCCCUGUCGUUAGUUGCCAGCGCGCCUUCGGGUGGCGGGGACUCUAACGAGACUGCCGGUGUCAAACCGGAGGAAGGUGGGGAUGACGUCAAGUCCUCAUGGCCUUUAUGCCCUGGGCUGCACACGUGCUACAAUGGCGCGGACAAAGCGAAGCGAUACGGCAACGUGGAGCAAAUCGCACAAACCGCGCCCCAGUUCGGAUUGUGGUCUGCAACUCGACCACAUGAAGUUGGAAUCGCUAGUAAUCGCGUAUCAGCUACGACGCGGUGAAUACGUUCCUGAGCUUUGUACACACCGCCCGU
rnacentral:rRNA from 1 species